GUUAAAGCACAUCAAAUAAAUACUAGGCAAGAGGAGUUUCCUGGGAGAGUUAGAAAUUAAAAAAAAUUACCAAUUUUCUGUCUCUGAUAAUUCAAUGCCAGUAAGAUAAAGGUAUUGAAGGAACAAUUUUCAUACUAAAAAAAGAAUUUCUAGUCAUGUCACCAUCUCUUAUAAAGAAUCCAGGGAACCCCAGAAAUAGAAAUGUAGUUUCAGGGGACCCCUGAGGCACUUUAAAGCCUUUAAAAAAUUACAGUAGUAAUAAAUUAGCUAUUGCUCUUCAGAGGCCAUAGAGCAGCUGACACAACAGAACCGGUCCAGAGUUAUGUCCGCAUCUCAGGUGCUCAAGCUGCCCGGCCCUCUUUAAAGCUUAGAUGAAUCUCCAAAUACCUUUAAAAAGACAUACGAUUUUACACAGACUGAGUGGGUCUUUUGUUUAGUGGUAGCAUGACAUUUGGUCCACAAUGGUUAGCAGCCGUCUUCAUUUUAAACUCUGAUAAAAUUAAGACAAUACAUAAAUAAAUACAGCAGGGGAAGCUAGCCCACACUGACAAACACCUCAAGGACCACUGAGUUCUCGUGCACCGUUUCAUUUGGAGCUCAGUCCCAUGUGGAGAGAAGGGCAUUACAGAACUUUCUUCUCAAGGAUGCUGAACAAUGGCAUUGAAUGGACAAAACGGUUAUCAAGGGAUGUAAAAGAUCCGACCCCAGGGAGGACACACACAGGUACUUCAGAGGUAUACUUUUGAUUUAGGUAAAAUUUGAGACUUAAGGAAAUUAUCACCUCAGGUAAAUAGAUAAAAGUAAGUCCAGUUUUGGGUGAAGGUUUUUUUUUUUAAGUGUCCUCACUGUCCCCCUUCAGCUGUCAGUCAUCUCUGAGAGCUCAAGCAGAAGGUCGUCUUCAUCUUUCCCAGGAUCCAAGUCAAUCUCAGCUUCUAAUUUGCCCCCUGAAAUUUCCCAUAUUAGUUUCUCAAAGUCAUCUUCCACGGAGAGUGGAGGCUUUCCUGUGGAGGCCGAGCUCAGCCGGCGAGGUUUCGUUGCCAUCUGGGAUGAGGAAGGGCCAGAGCCUUCGGGGAGCAAGGGUUCUGAAGAAGCUUGGGCUGAAGACAGCGCAGAACUGUCUUUCGGUUUUUCUGUCUCAGACAUGGUGACGGAUUUAUCCUCAGAGAGGAGUGGGCCAACAGCCACGGCUGCUUUCUUGGCGGGGCUUUCCUG
ensembl:lncRNA